GCAAACAACUGGCGAGAAGGGGCGGGAAGACGUAGGGGGAAGGGGUGGUCCGGAUUCGUGGGGCGUGAAGAGCGUGUAGGCGGCCAGGUAGGUCGGUUGUGAAAACUGGAGGCUCAACCUUCAGAGGUCGACCGAAACCAUCUGGCUAGAGUCCGGGAGAGGAGAGUGGAAUUCCUGGUGUAGCGGUGAAAUGCGCAGAUAUCAGGAAGAACACCCGUGGCGAAAGCGGCUCUCUGGAACGGUACUGACGCUGAGACGCGAAAGCGUGGGGAGCGAACAGGAUUAGAUACCCCUGUAGUC
rnacentral:rRNA from 1 species